AGCAGGGAGCCAGGUUGGGGAUGUGGGAAGGCAGAAGUCCCAGGGAUCCUGGGGGAGGCUCAGGUUGUACCUGCAGGCCACAGUCUCCUCGACAGACCUCGGGAGGAGGUUGUAAGUGUUUUAAAGAAACCACAGCAGCAGAGGAGAGAGACUCAGAAGCCCGUGGCACGGCUUUGUGGGUGUCCCCUCCAGCGAUGGGGGCUCCAUUGCUGCAGUUGCUGGUUUUGUCCAACCAGCAUUUAUAGCCCUCCAGUAAGUUAUUCCUUGGAGUUCUCACAGAGCAGCAUGGGCCUGCGGCAAAGCCCUCACCUCCAGCCCCUGGACCACCUGACUGCUGGCUCCAAACACGGCCACCGCCUCUUUUGUUAACAGGACAGUUGAUCCAUUAAAUUAAAAAUCAUUCA
rnacentral:lncRNA from 1 species